UUACGGCCAUAUCACGUUGAAACACAGCUUUACGUACGAUCACCGACGUUAAGCAACCUCGAGUCUGGUUAGUAUAUAGAUGGGUGACAGUUUGGGAAUACCAGGUGCUGUAAG